GAGCCCAAAAUUUCUGUUGUUAAGUGAGACAUUUGUUAACUGAGUUUUGCCCCAUUUUACGACCAUUCUUGCCACAGUUGAUACUUGAAUCACUGCAGCUGUUAAGUUAGCAACAUGGUUGUUAAGUGAAUCCAGCUUUCCCAUUGACUUUGCUGGUCAGGAGGUCAGAAAAGGGG